rnacentral:rRNA from 1 species
GAGGAAGGUGGGGAUGACGUCAAGUCCUCAUGGCCCUUACGCGUAGGGCUACACACGUGCUACAAUGGAGAGUACAGAGGGUUGCGAACCAGUGAUGGUAAGCCAAUCUCAAAAAGCUCUUCUCAGUUCGGAUUGAAGUCUGCAACUCGACUUCAUGAAGCUGGAAUCGCUAGUAAUCGCGUAUCAGCAAUGACGCGGUGAAUACGUUCCCGGACCUUGUACACACCGCCCGUCAAGCCAUGGGAGUUGGGUAUGCCUGAAGAUGGUUGCCGUGAGGCGCUGUUUAGGGCAGAAUCAGCGACUGGGGCUAAGUCGAAACAAGGUAGCCGUACCGGAAGGUGCGGCUGGAACACCUCCUU